rnacentral:rRNA from 1 species
AGAGUUUGAUCCUGGCUCAGAAUGAACGCCGGCGGCGUGCUUUACACAUGCAAGUCGAGCGGAGUCAUCACCAAGGGGCAACCCGAGGGGAUGGCUCAGCGGCAAACGGGUGAGUAAUGGACAGGUAACGUACCCCCUAGACGUGGAUAGCUCAUCGAAAGAUGAGAUAAUACGCGAUAAUGUUGCAGGGCGAUGGCCCUGCAAAGAAAGCGGGCGCAAGCUCGCGCUUCCGGAUCGGCCUGUCUCCUAUCAGCUAGUUGGUGGGGUAAGAGCCUACCAAGGCGAUGACGGGUAGCUGGUCUAAGAGGAUGGUCAGCCACAUUGGAACUGCGACACGGUCCAGACUCCUACGGGAGGCAGCAGUGGGGAAUCAUGGUCAAUGGGCGAAAGCCUGAACCUGCGACGCCGCGUGAGUGAUGAAGGUCGUAAGAUCGUAAAACUCUUUUCAGGGACACUAAAGCUCCGGCUCUAACAUAGCCUGGAGUAUGACUAUCCCUGGAAUAAGCCCCAGCCAACUACGUGCCAGCAGCUGCGGUAAUACGUAGGGGGCGAGCGUUAUUCGGAAUUACUGGGUGUAAAGGGUAUGUAGGCGGCCUCACAAGUCGCGUGUAAAAGUCCAGCGCUCAACGCUGGGUUCGCACGCGAUACUGU